AACGAAAUAACUCAAAAUUGAGAUAAAAAAUACCUAAAACUAAGUUCUCUCACAACUCUCCUUGUUUGGAUACAUUAUGUUCUUAGCUUUAGUUAUUUUAAACUCAAUCUUCAGGUUAUCCGAAAAAACUUACUUUUGAGUUAUUUGAUACUUGUGGAUCUGAAGUUGUUUUCAUUCCCGAUAAUGAAAGUAUCCAAAAUCAAGUGCUGGUGCAGUACUUGAUUUUGGAUGAAAAAUUCAAUCGAGCGCCAUUUGUAUUUCGGAGUUAGUGCUUUUAUCGCUCAGGUGCAUAAAAAACUAUUUGGAUGCUGAUUCGUUUGUGUUUUCAAGUGCGGAAGGCCUGUCAUGUUCCAGGUUUCGUCACACCGAUUGUCUCUGCAAUUUUCGAAUCUGGUAUGAGUGUCUACUAGCAGCUCAUCAAAUUUUAAUCCACUUCCAGCCAUACACCAUAAAUCCGACGACCGAUAGCAUAGCGAAUUAAAAACUAAAUUCAUGACGGACCACAAUCAAAACACCCGAUGGAUGAAGCAUCCGGACAACAACGUAACAACGGAGGAAUAUAACCGUGAUUGAAUAGUGUUAAAUUGUGUCGUUACCUUGCCUAUGUAAUUUGACUAUGAAUUAAUAAAAUGUGAUUUGAUGCCAAA